rnacentral:rRNA from 1 species
GGAAUAUUGGACAAUGGGCGCAAGCCUGAUCCAGCCAUGCCGCGUGAGUGAUGAAGGCCUUAGGGUUGCAAAGCUCUUUCGCGCGCGACGAUAAUGACGGUAGCGCGAGAAGAAGCCCCGGCUAACUUCGUGCCAGCAGCCGCGGUAAUACGAAGGGGGCUAGCGUUGUUCGGAAUCACUGGGCGUAAAGCGCAUGCAGGCGGAUUGUUAAGUCGGGGGUGAAAUCCCGAGGCUCAACCUCGGAACUGCCUUCGAUACUGGCAAUCUUGAGUCCGGGAGAGGUGAGUGGAACUGCGAGUGUAGAGGUGAAAUUCGUAGAUAUUCGCAAGAACACCAGUGGCGAAGGCGGCUCACUGGCCCGGUACUGACGCUGAGGUGCGAAAGCGUGGGGAGCAA